rnacentral:rRNA from 1 species
GAUGAACGCUGGCGGCGUGCCUAAUACAUGCAAGUCGAGCGAACAGACGAGGAGCUUGCUCCUCUGACGUUAGCGGCGGACGGGUGAGUAACACGUGGAUAACCUACCUAUAAGACUGGGAUAACUUCGGGACACCGGAUCUAAUACCGGAUAACAUGUUGACCCGCAUGGUUUACCAGUGAAAGACGGUCUUGCUGUCACUUAUAGAUGGAUCCGGGCCGAAUUAGCUAGUUGGUAAGGUAACGGCUUACCAAGGCAACGCUGCGUCGCCGCCCUGGGAGGGGGAUCGGCCACCCUGGAACGGAGACGCGGUCCAGACUCCUACGGGAGGCAGAAGUGGGGAUUCUUGGGCAAUGGGGGAAAGCCUGACGGAGCAACGCGGCGUGAGUGAAGAAGGUCUUCGGAUCGUAAAACUCUGUUAUUAGGGAAGAAGAAAUGUGUAAGUAACUAUGCACGUCGUGACGGUACCUAAUCAGAAAGCGACGGCUAACUACGUG